UACGUCGGGUGCAAGCGUUGUCCGGAAUUAUUGGGCGUAACGAGCUCGUAGGCGGUCUGUCGCGUCGGAUGUGAAAAUCCAGGGCUCAACCCUGGACCUGCAUUCGAUACGGGCAGACUAGAGUUCGGUAGGGGAGACUGGAAUUCCUGUGUAGCGGUGAAAUGCGCAGAUAUCAGGAGGAACACCGGUGGCGAAGGCGGGUCUCUGGGCCGAAACUGACGCUGAGGAGCGAAAGCGUGGGGAGCAAACAGG
rnacentral:rRNA from 1 species